GGCUCGGUAGCUUAGUUGGUAAAGCGCUCGUCUAGCAUACAAGCGUCCUGGGUUUAAAUCCCAGCCGAGCAC
rnacentral:tRNA from 1 species